rnacentral:rRNA from 1 species
AUUGAACGCUGGCGGCAGGCUUAACACAUGCAAGUCGAGCGGGGUGAUGGUGCUUGCACUAUCACUUAGCGGCGGACGGGUGAGUAAUGCUUAGGAAUCUGCCUAUUAGUGGGGGACAACAUCUCGAAAGGGAUGCUAAUACCGCAUACGUCCUACGGGAGAAAGCAGGGGAUCACUUGUGACCUUGCGCUAAUAGAUGAGCCUAAGUCGGGUUAGCUAGUUGGUGGGGUAAAGGCCUACCAAGGCGACGAUCUGUAGCGGGUCUGAGAGGAUGAUCCGCCACACUGGGACUGAGGCACGGCCCAGACUCCUACGGGAGGCAGCAGUGGGGAAUAUUGGACAAUGGGGGGAACCCUGAUCCAGCCAUGCCGCGUGUGUGAAGAAGGCCUUAUGGUUGUAAAGCACUUUAAGCGAGGAGGAGGCUCUUUUGGUUAAUACCCAAGAUGAGUGGACGUUACUCGCAGAAUAGGCACCGGCUAACUCUGUGCCAGCAGCCGCAGUAA